GUAGUGGUGCCGCCCAGGCCCAUUAAGGUAGUGGUGCCGCCCAGGCCCAUUAAGGUAGUGGUGCCGCCCAGGCCCAUUAAGGUAGUGGUGCCGCCCAGGCCCAUUAAGGUAGUGGUGCCGCCCAGGCCCAUUAAGGUAGUGGUGCCGCCCAGGCCCAUUAAGGUAGUGGUGCCGCCCAGGCCCAUUAAGGUAGUGGUGCCGCCCAGGCCCAUUAAGGUAGUGGUGCCGCCCAGGCCCAUUAAGGUAGUGGUGCCGCCCAGGCCCAUUAAGGUAGUGGUGCCGCCCAGGCCCUCUAACCACUAAGGUAGUGGUGCCGCCCAGGCCCUCUAACCACUAAGGUAGUGGUGCCGCCCAGGCCCUUUAACCACUAAGGUAGUGGUGCCGCCCAGGCCCAUUAACCACUAAGGUAGUGGUGCCGCCCAGGCCCUUUAACCACUAAGGUAGUGGUGCCGCCCAGGCCCAUUAACCACUAAGGUAGUGGUGCCGCCCAG